GCACUGCUGACGAGUCCUCAACAGGACGAAACAGCUGUCCAGUGC
rfam:Echinostoma caproni strain Egypt genome assembly, scaffold: ECPE_scaffold0015270